rnacentral:tRNA from 1 species
CGGAAUAUAGCUCAGUUGGUAGAGCGGUGGACUGAAAAUCCACAGGCCCAGGAUCGUCGCCCGGUGUUCCGA